AUGCACGCUGGCGGCGUGCCUAAUCCCUGCAAGUCGCGCGCACGGACGAGAAGCUUGCUUUUCUGAUGUUAGCGGCGGACGGGUGAGUAACACGUGGAUAACCUACCUAUAAGACUGGGAUAACUUCGGGAAACCGGAGCUAAUACCGGAUAAUAUUUUGAACCGCAUGGUUCAAAAGUGAAAGACGGUCUUGCUGUCACUUAUAGAUGGAUCCGCGCUGCAUUAGCUAGUUGGUAAGGUAACGGCUUACCAAGGCAACGAUGCAUAGCCGACCUGAGAGGGUGAUCGGCCACACUGGAACUGAGACACGGUCCAGACUCCUACGGGAGGCAGCAGUAGGGAAUCUUCCGCAAUGGGCGAAAGCCUGACGGAGCAACGCCGCGUGAGUGAUGAAGGUCUUCGGAUCGUAAAACUCUGUUAUUAGGGAAGAACAUAUGUGUAAGUAACUGUGCACAUCUUGACGGUACCUAAUCAGAAAGCCACGGCUAACUACGCG
rnacentral:rRNA from 1 species